AGUGAACGCUGGCGGUAGGCCUAACACAUGCAAGUCGAACGGCAGCACAGUAAGAGCUUGCUCUUACGGGUGGCGAGUGGCGGACGGGUGAGGUAUACAUCGGAAUCUACUUUUUCGGGGGGGAUAACGUAGGGAAACUUACGCUAAUACAGCAUACGACCUACGGGUGAAAGCAGGGGAUCUUCGGACCUUGCGCGAUUGAAUGAGCCGAUGUCGGAUUAGCUAGUUGGCGGGGUAAAGGCCCACCAAGGCGACGAUACGUAGCUGGUCUGAGAGGAUGGUCAGCCACACUGGAGCUGAGACACGGUCAAGACUCCUACGGGAGGCAGCAGAGGGGAAUAUUGGACAAUGGGGGCAAGCAUGAUCCAGCCAUACCGCGUGGGUGAAGAAGGCCUUCGGGGUGUAAAGCCCGUUUGUGGGGAAAGAAAAGCAGCAGGUUAAUACCCCGCUGUUCUGACGGUACCCAAAGAAUAAGCACCGGCUAACUUCGUG
rnacentral:rRNA from 1 species